rnacentral:rRNA from 1 species
AACGAACGCUGGCGGCAGGCCUAACACAUGCAAGUCGAACGCCGUAGCAAUACGGAGUGGCAGACGGGUGAGUAACACGUGGGAACGUACCCUUCGGUUCGGAAUAACUCAGGGAAACUUGAGCUAAUACCGGAUACGUCCGAGAGGAGAAAGAUUUAUCGCCGAGGGAUCGGCCCGCGUCUGAUUAGCUUGUUGGUGAGGUAACGGCUCACCAAGGCGACGAUCAGUAGCC